GCCUGGAUAGCUCAGUCGGUAGAGCGCUGGACUCUUAAUCCAACGGUCGUGGGUUCGAGCCCCACGUUGGGCG
rfam:Ciona savignyi cont_36519, whole genome shotgun sequence.